CCUAUAAAUAAUAAUUUCUUCUAGAAAUCUGUAUAGGAGUUCAAAGUGUUAAUAAAUAAUUAUAAUCACGGCCUUUGAAGAUAGUUCUGGUAUUACAUUAAUAAAAAUAAUCACACAGUGAGUUACAUUAUAGUCGUGGGCACAAAAAAUGAAUGCUGACGGAAUGUUAUUUUUUUAUAAUUGUUAAGCUUUGAUGCCCAGGUACUCAAUAUUUUACAUUGUUAGUCUUUUGUGCUCCUUAAAUAUUAGAGGGUAGAUAUUAUAGGGGGAACGAACCAUUGUACUACUUUAAAUUUUUUUUGUCUACUCUAUUGUUUGUACACUGUAGUAUAGGUACAUAUAUUUUGUGCGUGCAGUGUUUCUACCAAUUUGUUAUUUUUUUUUGUGUUUAAUAUACUGAUUUACUGAUUUAUUCAUAUAAAAUGUUG